GUGAGUAUUUUAAUACUUUUUAUUUUUUAGUUAUGUUAUUAAAAUUUAUUUUGUUAAAAUAAUAUAAACUACUAGAAUUUAAACACUUGUCACUUUAAUCAGAAGACCGAUUUUUCAAACUCUAGAUAAAGGACCGAUUCUCAACUGUUCACAUAUUUUUCUUUUUUUCUGAUUUUUUUUUUUUCUAGAACUCCUCUACAACCCAUAGUUGGAGGUGCUCUUAGCUGCCAUUACCAUUCCAUGCUUAUAAUGACUACCUAAUUCUAUGUUUUCUCAUUAUGAAUGCAACCCAAUAAUACGUUACGAAAAUAAUUUACGAAGUGGACAAUUGGCUAAUAGAAUGCUCAAGACACGACGAGACGCUUCGAAUUAUUUUCCCAGAGAAAGGUCAUAGUUUAUUUCCGUUUAUUUUACUGAACUUCAUUCACAACUCUUUUAUAAUCCUCUACAGAUGCAUUCAUUUCACUAUUUUUUAAUUAAAACUAGAUCGUAUUAUGUUCGAUCAAAAUGUUUCCUGGAUCUUACCACUACACAACACACAUAUGUACAUAAAUAUUUGUUGUACGUAUAUCUAGGCAGACAAAUACUUGGUCAUUUUUUUUAUUUUCUUGUAACUUGGCUUACAUACUUGGUCAUUUAUUAACCUAAAAAUAUUGCAUCAUUGCUUGCGUUAUGAAAGGUUCUCUGAAACAGGGAAUUGCGUACGUGCGAGAGUCCAUAGUCACUAAUCCACUAUGGUGAUUCACUCUUCGCCUUGGAAAUAUACUCGACGAUUUUGUAACGCUUUAACUGUCCAAGGAGUCUUACCACGUCCAUUCACUAUUCAUGGGUUUCAUUCCGUGCAACGGAUUGGAUAAUUUUACGAGACUUAAAAGACUUGUUUACUGACGUUACAAUAACUACGUGAAUUUUUUUUCAUGUUUUGACUUCAUUCAGAUGAUAUUAGAAAUCACUUUCUGAUAAGUUACCCAUUCUACGUGUAACUAUAAUUAUGAAGUUUUUUUCUGGAUAUGUAACCGAAAAAAUAAGUAUAAUUUGAUGAUUAUAUAGUCAAAAAA
rnacentral:lncRNA from 1 species